rnacentral:rRNA from 1 species
UACGUAGGGUGCAAGCGUUACUCGGAAUUACUGGGCGUAAAGCGUGCGCAGGCGGCUUUGCAAGACAGAUGUGAAAUUCCCGGGCUUAACCUGGGGGCUGCAUUUGAUACGUGUUGUCUUGAGUUCGGAAGAGGGUCGUGGAAUUCCCAGUGUAGAGGUGAAAUUCGUAGAUAUUGGGAAGAACACCGGUGGCGAAGGCGGCGACCUGGUCCGACACUGACGCUGAGGAGCGAAAGCGUGGGGAGCGAACAGG